rnacentral:sRNA from 1 species
AAAGGUUAAGCCAUGCAUGUCUCAGUG